rnacentral:lncRNA from 1 species
AUAUGUCACGUGAUCAAGCUCAUAUUUUUGGUGAUACAAAAGAGAAUUGUCACCCUUUUUACGAAGGUGGCAAUGGAGCCGUUUUCAUUCCAAAUUGCAUAGAGAACUUGAAGUUUUCCAAGCAAGAGUGAGAUGCUACAAUUAAGAUUUGAGUUUUGCAUCAAGCCACAAUUUGGAUUUAUUAAGUUGGGGCAAAUGAACACAUGUUAAUUAAAAGGAAAUGAAAAAACUAUGUAACAAAAAUAUUUCAAUGUGUUGAAAUUUUAAAAAUUCAUAACCAAUUAGACUUUCUUUGCAAAGACUUUUAGUG